ACUGAGGAAUGAUGACACUAAAAGGCCGAAUUGCAGUGGGCCUCGCAGUUGGCUCUCUGGGCGCACGAUGACAAAACCUCCUGAAGCGAACCUCGGGUCUGACCUCAGU
rnacentral:snoRNA from 1 species